GACAAUCCUGUGAAAAGCAGGCUUCCAGGUAGCUGAACAAGCAUCUGUAUGUCAUCGGGGAAUGGAAUUAACAACAAAAAAACAUAAAAAAAGCCCAGCCCACCCUGCACAACUGGUUCCAGAGUUUCACAGAAAAUCCUGUCAAGAUGAUUUACAAAUUGUAUAAAUAUAACUCCACAGCCCCAGCAUCUUCGCAUCAGUUCACUGAAGAGCCAUCAUUCAUGUUUAAGCGAGUGAGAGGCUGUGACGGAAAGCUUUCUGUCAGCUUUCUUGGGAGCCACCCGGAGAGGAAACAGCUCUCAGCAAAAUCUGUGAAAGACGGAGAAAAAACAAAGAAGGGAUGAUACAACUGCCAAGUGGAAAAACCAGCUCUUGGGCACUCGCAUGUCCAUACUUCCAGCAUCUAUUUCAACCAGGGGGAAGGACGCUGAAUUUGGAAUAUGUCUCAGUCCAUUUCACACAC